rnacentral:rRNA from 1 species
GACGUAGGGCGCGAGCGUUGUCCGGAUUUAUUGGGCGUAAAGAGCUCGUAGGCGGCUUGUCGCGUCGUUCGUGAAAACCUGUGGCUCAACUACAGGCUUGCGGUCGAUACGGGCAGGCUGGAGUUCGGUAGGGGAGACUGGAAUUCCUGGUGUAGCGGUGAAAUGCGUAGAUAUCUGGAGGAACACCGAUGGCGAAGGCAGGUCUCUGGGCCACUACUGACGCUGAGAAGCGAAAGCAUGGGGAGCGAACAGG